GCGCCCGUAGCUCAGCUGGAUAGAGCGUCGGACUUCUAAUCCGAGGGUCGCAGGUUCGAGUCCUGCCGGGCGUACCA
rnacentral:tRNA from 1 species